rnacentral:rRNA from 1 species
CCCAUAUGGUCGACCUGCAGGCGGCCGCGAAUUCACUAGUGAUUAGAGUUUGAUCAUGGCUCAGAGCGAACGCUGGCGGCAGGCUUAACACAUGCAAGUCGAACGGUCCUUCGGGAUAGUGGCGGACGGGUGAGUAACACGUGGGAACGUACCCUUAGGCUCGGAACAACACAGGGAAACUUGUGCUAAUACCGGAUAAGCCCUUCGGGGGAAAGAUUUAUCGCCUUUGGAGCGGCCCGCGUCUGAUUAGCUUGUUGGUGAGGUAAUGGCUCACCAAGGCUACGAUCAGUAGCUGGUCUGAGAGGAUGGCCAGCCACACUGGGACUGAGACACGGCCCAGACUCCUACGGGAGGCAGCAGUGGGGAAUCUUGCGCAAUGGGCGAAAGCCUGACGCAGCCAUGCCGCGUGGAUGAUGAAGGCCUUAGGGUUGUAAAGCUCUUUUGUCCGGGACGAUAAUGACGGUACCGGAAGAAUAAGCCCCGGCUAACUUCGUGCCAGCAGCCGCGGUAAUACGAAUCGAAUUCCCGCGGCCGCCAUGGCG